rnacentral:rRNA from 1 species
UACGUAGGGGGCAAGCGUUGUCCGGAUUUAUUGGGCGUAAAGAGCGUGUAGGCGGCCAGAUAGGUCAGCUGUGAAAACUCGAGGCUCAACCUCGAGACGUCGGUUGAAACCAUCUGGCUAGAGUCCGGAAGAGGAGAGUGGAAUUCCCGGUGUAGCGGUGAAAUGCGCAGAUAUCGGGAAGAACACCCGUGGCGAAGGCGGCUCUCUGGGACGGUACUGACGCUGAGACGCGAAAGCGUGGGGAGCGAACGGG